UCCUGCUUGCAGUGGCUAUGUAGUUAUGGAAGCUCCGGUGACCGGAAGAAAUGUCAGGGACAGGAAGUAGACGCAAAUACACGUUUAUCAAAAGUGAACAGAGGAAAUUAAAAUAUGGCGGACGUGGACGAAUCGAGAAGAGGUGGUCAACGAGAAUUAUUAGCAAUUACUCGGUAUGUGGAGGAAAAUUUUCCAACGGAUUAUAUUUUAAGGUUGGUGGAAGAUGUCAUGGAAAGUCUUGGAGAAAUAUCUGCUGACGAAUGCAGAUAUGGAUGAAGCUGUGUGGCGCAAUCUUGAGGAGGUAAAUGCCUUAUCCCCAUCGUAAAAUACCAUCCUGUCAUGUUAUCGGUCAGCUCUGUACGCAAGUUUGAAGAGGCUACACCAUGACUCUGAUUCACAUAUUAGGCAUUCACAAUACACUAAUUAGCAUCACGACCGACGUUAGCACGAGCCAUGGAUAGAGACCAGAUCACACAAAUAAACAGAUUAGAGCCGAGUCACACAAUUUUAUCCAGUAAAUGACUACAACGGCAGGUAAGUGUGUGCACUUGAUCUGUCUCCGGCCUGCCAGUCUUUCCAAGGUUAUAAGCGUACAUUAUGAAGCUUCGCAGCAGUGGCCUUGAUCACACAUAACAUGAUAGAUUCAGAAGAGAGAUUUCUUAGGUACGCAUGCAAUUACGUGUUGAAGUAAGGCAGUCAGGACCUGGACGACCGAGACUAGCGAUACCGGCGGACGUGAUGGAGUCAUACAUUCUUCAUAGGUGAACUGUUUGGAGUGUCAACUAGAACCGUCAGAAGGAGAAUGGCAUCCCAUGGAUUGAAGUUGUCACAUUUGUACACUCCACUGACUGACGAUGAACUUGAUGGCAUUGUAGCAGACAUUCCCAGCAUAAUCCCAGAGCAGGGAUUAGGAUGAUCCAUGGUCUUCUUAAAUCACAGGGUCUACAUUUGCAAAAUAAGGAAAGGCUUCUUGAGACGUCAUCUGUACUUCUGUGAAAAAGGUGUCGGACGGUUCGCUCCUCAUCCGAAGAGCUUCGUCAGCGAACUAAUAAGUGCUGGUAGCCUAGGCCUUAAAUACAGUAAGUGUGGGCGGAAUUGGUGUGCCAACACCCUCCUCCUAUUGGUUCCUUACACUAAGCCUGGGCGGAGUAGUGGUCUAAUCCUCUCCUGCUAUUAACACCUCCGAUAAAAGGGAAGUGUCGCUCCCUGAAUAGGGUAUGAACGACUCUGAUACUGGCUAGUUAGCAUCUAUUGUUCUGGCUCGGCCCUGGCUCCACCUCAUUUGCAAGACUAAGAGCUGUGGGUUUUGGUCUCAGUAACCUGCUGAACACAGGGUCCAAAUUAAACCUCAAACCACCAUUCCGAUUCAAUGAUGGGUUCUGUUGUUUGACAAAAAUAGCUUCCUUUACUCCUCUUUCAAACCAUCUGUUUUCUUUGGCCAAAAUCUUUACCUUGCUGUCCUCAAAAGAGUGAUUGGUAGCUUUAAGGUGUAGAUGUACUGCUGAUUGUUGAAAAUAAAGCAAAAUCUCAGCAAACAGAAAGAAAACACAUCAAUGUGCAAUAUUGUGGUGAAAAUAAUGUCUGUACCUGUUCAACUGUCUCCCUGACAUCUGCAUCGCAGCAGUCUUUCACAUCAAUGGAGGCCAUUUCAGGCAUUCCACCACCCAACACAUGAAUAAUAGCUUCACUUGGACCAGUCCAACAAGGGUCAUCGUGAAGACAGGAAUGGCCAAUCAUUGGGCCGGCUACCACAAAAAGGUCGCUAUGGACAAAGACUUGAGAUGCUGCAGGAACAAGGUGAUCCUUUUUACCCUCAAACAGCAGGGUCUUUCCAGCACCUGAAAUAAUUACCCAAGAACAUAAAUGGAUUGAUGGAAAGGCAGUGUGGUUCCACACCAUCCCCGACUGCUGCAUCACCUGUUGUUGGAACACAACAACAUGUAGAAGAUACAAUUCUUCCAGCUAUUAAACCAAUGAAUGCCUUAUAUGACUUGCUGUAGCUUCAAGAGUACAGGUGAGGGGAGACGUCCAGUCCACUCUGUCUUUUGUAGAAGCUGAGAAUGGUCUGCUGCCUGGCCUCAUUAGAAUCCCUGAGGUCCAUUCUGAAGUGAAGCUCCUCACCAGGAUUCUUCAUGACACUUUAUGGCCUCCAGUGGAUCAUCAACCGUCCUCCAAUCUAAAAUAAAUAAACCUUUUUAGUCUUACUGUAAUAUUGUUCAUUUAGAAAUGACAUGGAUACAAACCGUUGCCCGGCUCUGAUUCUGAGAAGCCUUCCCCUGAAUCAGUCAAACCUCCAGUUUUGAUCAAAGGCACUGAUGACCCUGGGCUGGAUGUCAGUGGGACUGUUAUGAGACGACCCCGCCUGCACAACUGCUGCUUCAUUUCCUGCCGUGCUUCAGUGUAGAACAAGAUUAGUUUUCUCAACAUACAACGGCAUGCAAAGGUUUGGGCACCCCUGGUCAAAAUUUCAGUUUUUGUGAAAAUCAAAUGAUUUACAAAAGUUAAACACGAAACAAAGUAUUUUCAAUAUCUGCCUGGAACCUCAAGCCUUUUGGUAAUAAUUUCAUCUUCUACUUGUUUCAUUUCUUCACAACAACUGACAUGUUGACCAGGGGUGCCCAACCUUCUGCAUGCUGCUGUAUCUACUGAAGUUUGGGCUUCAUUAAUGUCAUCAUUUCUUUAAGAAUAACUUGAGGAUUUCUGACCUUGAGCCUCAGUUCGAAUAACAUCAACACUGACCAACUCAAGGAAAGAAGUCUUUACUGAGCUCAUUUUACUACGAAAGGGAAGAAGUCUUUCUGUCCUUUCUGUACCCAAGUUACUCAAGUACAAAUAAUGACUUCUAUAACAUUCUGAAAUGACUAUCAUGCCAGUGAAUGCAGGUUGUAAUGUGUAAAAGCUAUGCAUCUGCCAAUGUAAACACUACAGUAUAUCAAAUAAGACAUGCACAAUAUGAUGCACAAAUAAAGUACAGCAGCUAUG